GCUGGGUGUGUAAGCGUAGCGAUACGUUGAGCUAACCAGUACUAAUGAACCGUGAGGCUUAACCUGACAACACCGAAAGUGUUUUG
rnacentral:rRNA from 1 species